UACGUAGGGUGCGAGCGUUAAUCGGAAUUACUGGGCGUAAAGCGUGCGCAGGCGGUGAUGUAAGACAGGUGUGAAAUCCCCGGGCUUAACCUGGGAGCUGCAUUUGUGACUGCAUCGCUGGAGUGCGGCAGAGGGGGAUGGAAUUCCGCGUGUAGCAGUGAAAUGCGUAGAUAUGCGGAGGAACAUCAGUGGCGAAGGCGGCCUUCUGGUCCAGUACUGACACUCAAGUGCGAAAGCGUGGGGAGCAAACAGG
rnacentral:rRNA from 1 species